rnacentral:rRNA from 1 species
GACGAACGCUGGCGGCGUGCCUAAUACAUGCAAGUCGAGCGAUGAAGAUUGGUGCUUGCACCAAGCUGAAGAGCAGCGAACGGGUGAGUAACGCGUGGGGAAUCUGCCUGUGAGCGGGGGACAACAUGGGGAAACGAAUGCUAAUACCGCAUAAGAACUUUAAACAUAAGGGGGAAGGGUGAAAGAUGCAAUUGCAUCACGCAAAGAUGAUCCCGCGUUGUAUUAGCGAGGUGGUGAGGUAAAGGCGCACCAAGGCGAUGAUACAUAGCCGACCGGAGAGGGUGGUCGGCCGCAUUGGGACUGGGACCCGGCCCAAACUCAUUCGGGUGGCAGCCGUAGUGCAUCUUCGGGCAUGGGUGGAAGUCUGACCGCGCUACGCCGCGUGCGUGUAGAACGUUUCCGGGUCGUGAAACUCUGUUGUUAGGUAAGAACGCUGGUGCGACUGGAACGCUCCUCAAGUGACGGUAACUACCCAGAAAGCGCCGGCUAACUACGUG